UCGAGACGUUUGACCCAAGCUAAACAAUUUAAAGGCAAUGCUACCAAAUACUUAUUGAGUGUAUGUAAACUUCUGACCCACCUGGGAAUGUGAUGAAAGAAAUGAAAGCUUAAAUAAAUUACUCUCUCUUUUAUUCUGACAUUUCACAUUAUUGAAAAUAAAGUGGUGAUCCUAACUGACCUAAGACAGGGAAUUUUUACUAGGAUUAAAUGUCAGGAAUUGUGGAAAAACUGAGUUUAAAUGUUUUUGGCUAAGGUGUAUGUAAACUUCAGACUUCAACUGUAUGUAAUGUAUGUCAUUCACUCGUUAAGGUCUGAAGAAGACAGGUUGAAAGAUUGAAAACGGCGGCAAAAACAAAGCACACUACAGGAUGAUGUAGAUGACUCCCCCCUCCCCCCAAGAAGUCACAGCAGGUCACAUCAGCAUCCAGCUUUGCAAGAGCAGACCAUACUAAAAAUGAAAUGCACGGCGAACUGGGAGCUGUGAACUGGUGCAAUUGGGAUGGACGGGGAAGACCGCAUUUACAACCCUUAAAUAACUACGGUUGUAUGAUGGCCUGGAUGAAUAGGAAAAUAUUCUCCUCAAGGAACUGACCGUCUUUGCCUCUUUUGAGGAGCAGGAGUGAAGCUAUUUUUGAGGAGUGGUCAAACCUUGUUUUUGUCUGCUGUGUUAAUUGUUUCAAUUGUUAAUUGUGUUAUUUAGUAAAGAUGACGUAGCAGUCACCCGAGUCUCUGGUCUCUUUACUGGAGCUGGUAUAACUGUCUAUAUGGUAUAGUCUGUUUCCAUUCUCAUGAGGAAAGUAAAUAGCAUUAUAAAUCAGGAUAGGUAGUAAGUGUGUGUGUGUAUGUGUGU
ensembl:lncRNA